rnacentral:lncRNA from 1 species
AGAUUUAUUUAACCCUUGCGCCCGACGGUCCCUCUCCCGGGCCGAGAUUUUGCUGCAUACAUUUAAACGCUGUAAAAAAUGUAUUGAAACUUGACCGCGGUGUUUACUUUCAAUUCUCAAUCAAAGUUUAGACUCUAAUGUUCACAGAACUGGGUCGGAUGUCUGUUUUUAGUGUAAACGUUACCUUUUUAUGACGAUUUUAAUCUGUCUUGGUGUCUCUGUCUGGGCAUUUAAAUUUUGCGACAUCGACCGAAUCAAAGCUUUACAGUGUAGCGGAGACAGGCUCCGUCCGGCCAUGUCUGUAGUCAUUUGAAAGGGGAGAACCUACUGAAUCGAUUGGCAUCAAUCUUUCCAAAGACUACAUUUCCCAGCUUUGAAAAAAGCCGGGCGUAAAGUGUUCGUAAUCUGUGCGCUUUUAGGUGCAGCGCCCCACAGACGAAGGCAGGAUGCUGCAUCGCACACUGAUCACUCGGGGCUCUCCUGUAAACUUUCUACACCACUUAUAAAACUUCUCUUGAGUACUUUUCAACCAGGAAAAGAAACAUUCAACUCUUAGAGGGAUAUGGCGGAAAUUUUAUUAGAAAUUCAGCGGGGCUCAGACGGUGAAUCUGAGGACUCGUCUGACUCAGUAAUGGCGUCGGCUCCGAGGAGGAGGCAUUGUUUACAUCAGAAGUGGACCCAGUUUACUAGUAAGUAUUUGCAUUUAUCUAUAAAGCCGUGUUGUGUAAAUUGAUAUGCAUGGAACACCUUUGUCAUAAAACUGUAAACACCGUAGUAAGUAUGGCAAUCCAAUAGCAUCGAAUAUUACUGCAGUUUCACUAUAUCUGUUUAUUUUGGGCUUACUUUGCUUGCAGAUACUGCAUUUUAUCUGUCUUUGAAUAUAUUCUUUAUGAGAAAAAUAAAUGAAGUACAUAUAAAUGCAAACAAAAUAUAGAAGAGCUACUCAAUUUAGUGAAUAAGUUUACAUAUAUCCACAACUUUUGUGUCCUUCAGUGAAAUGUACAAAUGUUAUUUAUUUUUGUUCUGCAUAGUAAUUGAUCACCAUUUUCACAGCCACCAAGAAGAGGGGAGUGAGGCACAUCCACCCCCACCCCCCAUCAGGGGUUUUCACACCUUCAGUACUCCCUGCACCAGACGCCCCACCCCCACCCUUACCUGCAAGAAAGGUGACAUUGCUUGUAUCAAGGUUUGUGUACUGAUCAUUUGUUUGAUUCUGGUCUCUAAAAGAAAUAAUACACUCUUUACUGCUUCAAUUUUGCAUUUAUAUGUAUUCAUUACAUUUAAUUUACUCUACCUGUGUUUGCUGUAUUUUAUAUUGUUAUAUAUUGUUUUUAAUUUACAAUAUUUGUUGCACUUUUACUUUUUAUUUUACAUUGUUUGCUCAGAAUGUUUGUUUGUUUCUCUUUUUGCACUUUUUUCAAAUAAAGAUACUCCCUGUGAAGAAAGAAAUGUAUAAGUUCCUGUUAUUUUUCACUAUUCUGUAUUACAUAUAAACAAAUAUAUUGUGCAGAAUGGUAGAAAUUGAUGAGGCAAAAGGUAAAUUUCAUAUCUAAAAGCUCCAAUAGGUAGUAGGAGACUAGUCUUAUGGAAAUAAAUUGUAAUUUGGAGCCAGUUCUCAUCAGAGGUAGAAAAUAAUCCAUUUGGCACAUUUUGGCACAAAGUGUGCCAAAUUGUGCCAAACUGAGUCCUCGCCUGGGUGUACCCUUACAAAAACCUUCAUGUAGGCUUUACUGUUUGCCCAAAUUCUAUCAAAUUUGGUACAUUUGUGGUCAAGGAGUGGAUGAAGCUAAUCAAUGUCAUCUGGGGGCCUGGAAUCAUUGCCAGCAUUGUGUUUUCCCCUGUCAAAAAAAGAAAACAUUUUGGCGAGGGUAAAAAAACAUAACUUUUCCUCUGAUUCAUUCCAAUUUACUCAGGCAUAAUGACAGACAAAACACUUCUGACACUUGGAACACAUUCUCUGAAGUCUCUAGAUGUCCAAGGACACCAAGAACAUGCAUAUAACCUUUAGUAAAGUGUAGUAAUUCCUCAUUUACUUUGGGUAUGUCUUUUAGGCGUUUUUCUUUCCUUAAAAUAUGCUUAGGGUAGAACAGGUUAAAUAGGGUCUCCCUGUCCUCGCACGCAGACAAAAUGACAAGAAAAACUAAAUUCACGGCGUGCGAGGUGGAGGUGCUGGUGGCGGAGGUGGAGGAGCGACAGCGUGUUUUGUUUGGCAGCCUGUCCAGUGGCGUCAGUGCAAAACGAAAACGCUUGGAGUGGGAGAAAGUUUGCGAGAGGGUGAACGCGGUGGGUUCCGAGACACGCACCCCCGCGGAGAUAAAAAAAAAAAAGUGGUCGGACCUCAAGGUGGAGGUCAAGCGGCGUACAGCUGCCCUCCGGAGGAGUACCGGCCAGACAGGUGGGGUUCCGGGGGAGGAGACCCUCACGCUGUUAGAGCAGCGGGUGGUGGCGAUUAUUAUUAUAGGGUAAGUGGCGUGUCACACAAAUGUCCACAUGCUUUGCCAUCCCACUGAGCAAAAGACGUAUAUUAGACGUCUAGUCUAAGUUUAUACUUCAUUUCAACGUCGGGAUUCAGUCUAUUUUUAGACGUGAUUUAUACUUCGCCCUUAACUUCAUUUUUCGAUAACUUUUUAUGCAAUAAACAAUUGUAAUGUGCAUAACUGACCUCUAAAUACUGGAUUACAUUACCUAUGAUACCGUGGAGAGAGAUGUAAACGCAACAGAUACACAAAAGUAGGAAUGGAAAUGAACCAAUAUUUUUAUUGUGUCACAGAAAUCAAUGUGUCGGCCGUGUCGCCAGCUUGCGGAACCCGGGCCCGCGGCAGCCCGUCCGCCGGCUCGGAGUCGUCGGCCAGGACCAGCGGCAUUCGGGCCACCCCGGCCCCCGCACCAGCACUAGCGCGCCGACAAGCGGUGGAGCGUCCACCAGCCGCGGCGCUUCAGCUGGACCACCCGGACGCAGUGGAAGGGUCCUCAUGGAGGCGGUCCUGCAAUCACAGGAAGAAAUCAUCAGGGGGAUCGCGGGGAUCAACGAGCGGCUGGACCGGCUCGUAAAUGUCCUCGAGCGUCUGGUGGCGAAAAUAAAUUAAUUUGGCUCAUUGAACUGUGUAUUCACUUCUUACCCAUUCACACUGUGGCGAUGAGAUUCUCCCGCGUGAGGACUGCGGCCCGGCAGGGAUCAGCUCGCAUCCCUCCGUCUGCUGCUGGUUCGUCAUGUGGGGCGACGUGCUGCUCGGCCACGGGGAUGUGGUGCACGCUUGUCACAUAGUGAUUCACCAAACACCGCCACACAGCGUCGCCAAAGUGCCGUCAACGCAGGUAUCGGCUCAACGCCAACUUCUACACCACCUCCUCACUUUGCGUUGAUUAGCGCUGGAUCCGACGCUCGUUUCGAGAUGAUAAAUCUGGACGUGUGCGCCGAUCUUGGCGGACGCAAGGUUUUCUGGCGCCGCCAGCGUUGAUACAUGAGGCCCCUGGUACCUACAGCAGCAAAAGCAAAUAAAAUAGAUAGAUAGAUAGACUUUGUUCAUCCCAAACUGGGAAAUUCUUUAAUUAACGAUAGACUGACUUUACAGACCUAGUUCUGCUCCUUCUGAGAC